UACGGAGGGGGCGAGCGUUAUUCGGAAUUAUUGGGCGUAAAGGGCGCGUAGGCGGCCCUGCAAGUCAAAGGUGAAAUCCCUCGGCUCAACUGAGGAACUGCCUUUGAAACUGCAGGGCUUGAGUCCGGGAGGGGGUAGCGGAAUUCCCAGUGUAGCGGUGAAAUGCGUAGAUAUUGGGAGGAACACCAGUGGCGAAGGCGGCUACCUGGACCGGAACUGACGCUGAUGCGCGAAAGCGUGGGGAGCAAACAGG
rnacentral:rRNA from 1 species